GGUGGAUAGCUCAGUGGUAGAGUGCUUGCCUAGCAUUCACAAGGUCCUAGGUUCAAUCCCUAGUACCUCCA
rnacentral:tRNA from 1 species